rnacentral:rRNA from 1 species
CUGUAUAAGGGGACUCUGUCAAGUGGAGUUGAAAUAGCAGUUGUCUCCACUUCAGUUAACUCUGCCAAAGAUUGGUCAGACAAGUCUGAGGAGCAGUUUAAGAACAAGAUAUCUAUGUUGUCCAGGGUGAACCAUAAGAACUUGAUGAACCUACUCGGCUACUGCACAUGCGACGAGCCAUUCACCCGGAUGAUAGUGUUGGAAUAUGCUCCGUGUGGUUCCCUCUUUGAGCAUUUGCACAUUAGAGAAGCAGAAGAUUUGGACUGGCCUACACGUCUGCGCACCAUCAUGGGAGUAGAGUACUGCUUGGAGCACAUGAGCCAGCUAGACCCUCUGGUCAUGCCAGCAACACUGAGUUCAUCGUCCAUCUACCUGACCGAGGACUACGCGGCCAAGAUCUCUGACAUGGAAUUCUGCAAGGGUGGCAAAGAUGCUGCUGAAUCGCAAACUAGCAUCGUCUACAAGUUGGGCAUCCUGCUGCUGGAGGUGAUUUCCGGGAGGGUGCCGUUCUCCGAAGACCACGGCCUGCUGGUUCUCUGGGCGUCCAGCUACCUGGACGGCAAGAGGGCGCUGAAUGGGAUGGUUGAUCCGACGCUGAGGUCGUCUGUGCCCGACAGAGAUGUAGCUGCGCUGUGUGAUGUUGUAAGGCUGUGCAGAUCCGGAGAGAGAGAGAAGAGAGCGGCCAUGGGGGAGGUUGCCAGGAUGAUGAGGGGUGUGACGGCCUUGUCGCCGGAGCAGGCCAAACCCGCUGUGGUGGGCGGAGCUCGAGAUUGCAUCGGCGGCCAAAGGAGCAAGGAUAGCUAA